GCAUCUGUGCAUGCAUGCAUAUCAAUAAGCGGAGGAAAAGAAACUAACAGGGAUUCCCCUAGUAACGGCGAGUGAAGCGGGAAGAGCUCAAAUUUGAAAUCUUAAAGGGUUUCCCUUUACGAAUUGUAGUUUAAAGAAGUGUUUUCUGUUGAGGUUUUGGUAAAAGUUCUUUGGAAUAGGACAUCAUAGAGGGUGAGAAUCCCGUAUUUGACCUUUACUUUCAACUUUGUGAUACACUUUCAAAGAGUCGGAUUGUUUGGGAAUGCAGUCCAAAAUGGGUGGUAAAUUUCAUCUAAAGCUAAAUAUUGGCGAGAGACCGAUAGCGAACAAGUACCGUGAGGGAAAGAUGAAAAGAACUUUGAAAAGAGAGUUAAACAGUACGUGAAAUUGUCAAAAGGGAAGCGUUUGACACCAGUGUUGUUUUUCUGAAAAUCAAUUAAAGAACUGUUUAUGCUAAGCUGUUUAGACUUUAUCAGCUAUCUGUUUAGUUUUGAGCUUUUCUUUAAUGCACUUUUCAGUUAACAAGUCAACAUCAAUUUCUUUUGCUGUAAAAAAGCUUGAGGAAGGUGGCUUGAGAUUCGUCUUAAGUGUUUAUAGCCUCUUGCCUAUGCAGUCGAGAGAUUGAGGUCUGCAGCGUAGAUCCUUCGGGGCUAAAUGCAUUUGUGCUAAGUUAUAGCAUUUUAUAGACAACUUGUUGACUAUGAUUUGUCUUGUAGCUUACUCGCUUAUGUUAUUUUACCUACGCUUAGGAUGUUGACAGCAGUAUAGACUGU
rnacentral:rRNA from 1 species